GAUCUUGACACUACUGGGAAGGACGCGCUCCCGUGCCACCUUCAGUUCCAAUAGCUGUAGUUUCCUCCGCAAUCCCCUGUUUUCUUUCUGGCUUUGAGUUAUUUCCAAACGAAACACUGCAUAGUCGUCGUCUACGAGUUUACAGAUCUCUGCCACGGCUGCAUUCGCUAGAACCUCCAUGAUGGAGGCUAUUUGAGUGUGAAAAACCAUACAAUUAGCCAUUGUUAGCAGCUAGCGUUACCUAGAUAACAUAUCAACCAAGUCCUGUCUCCAACGCGAAUUAUGGGAUCACUGACAACCUGAAAUGGUCAAUCCACACACAGUGUGGUGUUGCACCUCUUCAAUCUCAUGAGGCUGGCCCCUAAGAUGCACCAUUGAAAGCAUCCUGUAUCUCCGCCUGGUAUGACAAUUGCACCGUCCGCAACCACAGGGCUCUCUAGAGGAUGGUGCGGUUAGCCCCUCGCAUCACCAGGUGCACACUGCCUGCCCUCCAGGACAUCUACAGCACAUGGUGUCACAGGAAGGCCAAGAAGAUCAUCAAGGACCUCAGCCACCCGAGGCACGGUCUGUUCACCCGCUACCGUCUAAGCGGUGGAGACAGUACAGGUGCAUCAAAGCUGGGACCGAGAGACUGAAAAACAGCUUCUAUCUCCAGGCAAUCAGACUGUUAAAUAGUCACCAAAGGGUGUGGUUAAAUGAAAAAGGUAUGCGCACUGUUCUUUGAAAUAGGGUCGUGCUUAUUACAUUACACAUCAAAUCUCCUAUGAAAAGUAUCUUUAAAGCUGAGAGCAGACUUGUUUAGAAAGAACAGUGUUAGCAAGAAUUGAGUAGAAAACAAUAUGACUUUAUUCCCUCUACAUCACCUCCAGUAAGCUAAAUAUUAAACUGUCCUUGUUCUAGCCUAGGUUUACUGUCUCUCUAAAAACAGGUAUUUACUCAAGCCUGUUUCAAAUGACAAGUUACCAAAGGGUUAAUGAGAGGUAUGUGAUUGAUUACCCUCUUACCUCAAGACACUUCACAUGAGAACUAUCCCAGACAUCCCCUGUGUGCAUCUCAAGCCACACUGCUACGAUUUCUCCCGGUUGUGGACACUCCUAUGUCUGGUAAGGUUAGUCAGGAAGGAGAAGCUCUUGUAACAGUUUGCACUUGAAGGGCCUCUCCUUGGUGUGAACGGUCUGGUGCUCCCUGAAAUAGUCUGCCCUAGCAAAGCACUUCCCACAUGUGGUGCAGUAGUAGGGCUUGUCUGCAUCUGUCCUACUGCUUGGCCUCCCACGUUGUGACCCAAUGACACCAGAUGAGGUAGAAGCAGGAGUCUUUGAGCUCCGUCCUUGACCUCUAGCCAUUGUUUGGGUGUUGUUGGGAUUGUGUGCUGUGUUAUAGGCUAGGUACCUCUUGUGGUGAAUGCCCAUCCUGACCCUGUCUGUAUUGGUGGGGUAACCAUGGUCCUCAUGGACUGCAAACACAAAAUGUACAGAAGAGCAUAUAAAGGUUUAUAUAAGGAACUCUACUGUAAACACAAACAUGACAUAUUAUAAAAUGUUAACCACAGUCAAGCCCAUCUCUAACACUGUGAUUCAAGUACCUAACAAUAUGGAGCCAUUGGAAUUUAUUAUAAAAAUUGUCCAUAUAUGUUGA